rnacentral:lncRNA from 1 species
AUAAACUAAUCUCCUUCCAGCCAAUGACAAUAUGAAGUUUAAAGCUGAAGGCAUCCACUUCUAAGCAGCAGGAGCACAUCACUGCCUGCAGGGUCCAGUUUUCAUUGGCGUUACACCUCUACAGGAUCGUGUCUUCUACCACAAGUUCCGGGCAAGACCCUCUCAGAGGUUCAGCGGCUUCGCUAUUGGGGGUCCCCGUAGUGAAAAUGGGGUGUGGCACAGUGACAUCGUGCCACCGGUGUGCUUCUGCAGGGAGAGGCCCGGCGAGGUCUUUGGACACCAUGGCAACCAAGCUGGCUUCAACAAUUUCUGUGGUAAACUUUUGUGAAAAAGUUUGCUGGUGCCUCCGGGAGAGAAGUUUGGGCACCACCAGACGACCAGAGAAGGCAGAAAUAAAAUUGACACAGGAAGCAGACACAACUAUGGGGAAAAAAAAGUGUUGUAGCUGUGACAGAGAUGGAUUCCGGAGUCACGAUAAGCAGGACCAGCAUGUAAACUUCGGCUCCUUUCUUACACAUGCAUUUUCCAUCCCGUGUCUCUGCACACCGACCGGCGCUAAAGCUGGCUGGCAGUGCCUAAUUAGCGGGCUCAGUGCUGCCAGCCGUGCUCGUCCUGCUCAGGCGCGGUGUGACUGAGUGAUCCGCACACCGGCAGAUGUGACACCGCGGCUUCAAGAGACGACUGGAGCUCCGGCGUGUGAUGAGCGCGCCGAGAUGAAAGCAGAAGAUGUCGCUCUGCGAGUAAUUACUACAGAUAACACGGCACAAAUCGCUCUUUUGUCUAUCGUUCAGUGUUGCCGGUGUUUUUUUUUUAUUGUUUGGCUGAUGUUGCUUGUUUGUUUAGUUUUGCAGUUGUCAUCCGCGUAAGCUCUUGUUUUAUUUUCUACAAACUUUGAAAUGCACCGGUGGGGUGGGGGGAAUGAAUGAACAAAUCAAUGAAAUACACAGAGCAAUGAAUUGAUUCUUCAUUCGGGGUCUGUCUGUUUUUUUGCUAACACGGGUUUCCAAAUAAUUCGAAUCUGAAAGUGCCAUCAGUCUCGGCAUUGAAGCGAUAUACCACCAGUGGUAUUUUGC